GGAUGGAUAACUGGUUAUUGAAAGGUAUUCAGCUCUUUAUUUUCUUCUCUUCUCCCCAAGGCUCAUAUUGAGGAAUUGGAAGGACUGUCCUGUGAUAACCAGGUGGUGUACCCCUGCAGGACAAUGCUGUGAUCAGCCAGUCUGCACUGGAGUUCAGCACACUUGAGGUUACCCUUGGACUGUUGGGAGUCCAUGCUCCUUCGCCAGAGCGUGGAAUGUCAAGGGACAUACUCCCAAGGUGGACAAGCAUGAGAAGAAUUAAGACUGGUAGGCUAAAACAAAGAUCCAAUAUAACAGGCGCUUUGUGAAUGUGGUACCAAAAUUAAGCAAGGAGGGACCAAACGCCAACUCAUAAAACUAUUUCCCCCAAAGUCUGUCUGCUGUGUCUCACCAGUCGAACAUUGACAUGACCAUUCACACUGUGUGAGCAAUGGACUUGGACCAAGUUCUGUCAUUGGAAUUACAUUUGGAAUUGGGCUGAUAUUCACUGUGAUUAAAUACAAUAAAACUCAGUGAGGAAAGAAAGUGGUACUCUGCA
rnacentral:lncRNA from 8 species